AGUCGGACGGGAUUUUCUUUGGUAGCAAUACCGAAAAAAAUUCAGUGGCGAACGGGUGCGUAACACGUGGGCAAUCUGUCUUAAAGUGGGGGAUAGCUCGGCGAAAGCCGAAUUAAUACCGCAUGUGAUCAGAGGCGACAUCGCUUCGAAAUCAAAGGUGGCGCAAGCUACCGCUUUUUGAGGAGCCCGCGGCCUAUCAGCUUGUUGGUGAGGUAAUGGCUCACCAAGGCGUUGACGGGUAGCUGGUCUGAGAGGACGACCAGUCACACUGGGACUGAGACACGGCCCAGACACCUACGGGUGGCAGCAGUCGAGAAUUUUUCUCAAUGGGGGAAACCCAGAAGGAGCGACGCCGCGUGGAGGAUGAAGGUCUUCGGGUUGUAAACUCCUGUCAUUUGGGAACAAGUCGUACGUAUUAACUGUACGUGCGUUGAUAGUACCAGAAGAGGAAGAGACGGCUAACUCUGUGCCAGCAGCCGCGGUAAUACAGAGGUCUCAAGCGUUGUUCGGAUUCAUUGGGCGUAAAGGGUGCGUAGGCGGCGCGGUAAGUCGGGUGUGAAAUCUCGGAGCUUAACUCCGAAACUGCAUUCGAUACUGCCGUGCUUGAGGACUGGAGAGGAGACUGGAAUUUACGGUGUAGCGGUGAAAUGCGUAGAUAUCGUAAGGAAGACCAGUGGCGAAGGCGGGUCUCUGGACAGUUCCUGACGCUGAGGCACGAAGGCCAGGGGAGCAAACGGGAUUA
rnacentral:rRNA from 1 species